GCGAACAUAGCAUAGCACGCACUAUGCCUUCUGUGUUGUAGCUGCCUGGCCAGGGCGACUGGCGGAUAAGGUCUUGUGCGUGGCCUCGAGGCUUAAAAGUAGCAGUGGGGCUUUGUGAAGGACAAAAUGGCGAUGGCGGGCCGUGUAGGUCCCCCUUCCUAUGAUGAGGACCUUUUCACAGACCUGUACUGAGCUCCGUGAGGAUAAAUAACUCUGAGGAGAUGGGCCCUGCAAGCCUCUUGCUUAGCCGUCUGUUCAGAAAAUAGCGUUUUCGAAAUGCCCUGAGUUGACCUAAUGUCUUAUUGGGCUCCUGUCUGCAGGAUUUACGCGCACGUUGGAACCGAAGAGAGCUCUGUUGUUGCAGUAAGUUCUUACGGCCAUUUCUUAAUCUCUGCUCUUUCGUUGAGUGUGUGGAAGUUGCUACGGGGAUGAUUUUACGAACUGAACUCUCUCUUUCUGAUGGAUUAGUGGAGAAAACAGAAAAUUCUGAGUAGCACUGUACUGUACGCAACAAAUGUCAGGGCCCUAUUGAUUUGUCUGAGGUGUUAGUGAAGGGUGUUAUUUUUUCAGAUGUUCAGCCCACAAGAGCUUACUGGUGAAGGAAUGGGACAAGACCCAUCUUUAUGCAAAGCCAGCGUUACAGUAAUGUUCCAGGUAGGUGUACAUGGUUUAUGCUCUUACAGAGGAGACCUUGUAGAUAACCACUCCAUGAUGAACACAAAAUGACAAGCAUAUGGCUGAACUUUCAAGUGAUGUCAUCUUACUACUGAGAAGUGAGAGAGAGGUCUUAAGGGGUCUUUGAAUGACUAUUUUUAGGUACAUAAAAUGCUUUCCUCUGUUGUCUACAGCAUCUCAUAAUCUAUCCUGGGGAAUUCAGCUGCCUCCCAGGGUGAAUACAGGUAAUUAUCCAAAUUGGUGUAUGUCAUCUUUGUAAAUGUUCAAGAAAACAAGUGGCCGGCGGAACAAUGUUUUUUGGCGCCUUCCAUCUUGUUCCUCUUGAAAUGAUUUUCUGGGGAGGGAGAUCGCAACCCGGUACUACAGUUCUUGUAAGGGUGUGCUGUUACCCUCAUCCAUAUAUCGAUCACGUUACUGUCAGAUGAUUUGAAUUGAUAAGCUGAUGUUCUGUGAGGUACAAAAGUUAAUAGCAUGUUAGAGUUCUGAUGGCAGUUGUUGUUUAUGAAUAAGCUUCAUUCCAUCCUAAUACCUUAAAAUAACUAAUUUGCUUUCCUUUCCAGGUAUUCCUGAUGACAGUCUGCCUCUAUCUUACAGUAAGUUGUUUUUCGAAUUCUAUGGGCCUAUUAUCUAAUAGAUAACUUAGCCAUUUUGAUAUUUGUUACCAAAGCCUGCUUAACCCAUAAAGUUUUCUGGUUCCUCUUGUUCUCUGUAGUGAUGUUUCUAGAUAGAUGCCCACUGAUAUAUGCCCCUUUUUUCUCAGAUAGAUGCCCACUGAUCUGCCCAGGGUCAGACGAAUGCUUGUCAGUUGUAGCUUUCCAGGAUUCUGCUCCAAUGAGGAGGAAACAUCCUGCCUUACCCCUGUUUUAGCCUGGGAACCAGUAAUUGUGAACUCACCAGGGUUAACAUGAAGAGGGCAUGAGAGCUUAUUCCAUAAGGAAUUGUCUGAGACAUUUGGUUACCUUUUCUUAGUUUGUCCAUUAGCAACCGUAACUAAAAUAGUUUUGGCUGUUUGGGAUAAUUAGCUAAUUGAAUGAUUUUUUGAUUCAGGAGCAGCUUGUUGCUAUAUACCAUUGAAAAGCCUUCAGAGCUGAGAGGUUAGUUGAUAUUUUUUGUUCCUUACAGCUUAUGCCACCAAGUAGGCAGUUUCUAUGAUGAAUCAAACUAGCUCACUAUGACCGACAGUGAAAAUACAUGAACACCUGAGAAACUGGAGAACGCAGGGAGUGGGGGGUAACCAUGUCUGAGGAAUCUUUCACCCACAGCUUUGUUUUUCUCUAGGUACUACUAACCAAUAACCUGCUUGGCUCAAAGGUGAGUAAUUUCACGGUAUUCAAUGCACUCAGUAUAUAGGGUAGGAAAAAGUGCCUUUUUAGGCCUGUGUUUGUGAUGACUUACAUGGAAUCUCGUUCGGCUGAUGACUUGCUGUUGAGACUCUGAAAUCUGAUUUUCUGAGAAUGAUGGGUGGGAACAACAUAAUGCGGGAUAUGAGAAGCACUACUGACUUGGUCUUCCUCCUUUCAGGGCCAGCACCUUCUCUCUAAAGCCCAAGAGGAGUUUGAGGAAAACUAGGUGUCUGUGUUCACUCCAGGCUGAAGUUACAGGUGAGUAAACCUAAAUGUAAGGUGGACUAUGCUAAAAAUUCCCAAUGAAGAAACUUUCACAUGUCUUACUCUCUGUCCUAGUCCCAGAGCCUGUAAAGGUGAACCCACUGGGACUGGCUGGGGGAGAAGAGGAAGAUUUGUUCCAGAAGGAACUGUCUGAGGGAUGAUAAAGAUUUCUAUACAGAGAAAGGGAGUAAUCAUCACUUGUUGAAAACAUUGGUUUUAUUUUUUCCAGGUCUGAGCAAAUAAGGUGUAUAAAAAAUGGAAUCUGUCUUGGAGGACAUCAGAAGGUGAAUUUUCCAAGUUCUUGGACAACCUAGCUGUUGAAAAGCUUUCUGGGUUUGGGGGGUAUUUCAGAUGUACCUUAAAGUGUUAGCAGACACAGAUUAAGACACUGGGAGCCAAUGAAACAGCAGUUGAGGGUUUGCUGUGUAUCACAUUUCUGUAUUUUAUCACCCCCUUCCUGCAACAUUAUUUAUCUGGAAUCUACCUGCCCUUUUGUUUUUUAGAUACAAGGGCUUGGUUUUGUUACCCAGGCUGGUUUCAAGGCCAUAGCUUUAAGAGAUCCUCUCACCACAGAUUUCCAAAGUGCUGGGAUUGCAGGUGUGAUUCAUGGCACCCAGACUUUGCUGCCUUUCUUACAUGAUCCAGGCCCAGAACCCAAACUCAGGCACUGUAUAGAUGACCACUUUCGUAAACUACUGACCUAGCUUGUUGCCAAUUGUUGAUUGAACUUCCCAUAACUCCACUUCGUGUCUGUUCCUCUGUAUACAGCCACCUUCUGUUCCCGUCAUGAGCCUUUAGGUCUCCAUUUGCAUAUUGCAAAUACUAUGUUCCAUGUAGGUAGCUCAUUCAGGGCCUUGCUCUUCACUUCAAAAAAGGUUCCCUUGAGGACUGGCUGUCAAUUUGUGUUGCUGUGUUGGUUGUUGAUGAAAAUAAUAAAAUGAUUGAU
rnacentral:lncRNA from 1 species